GCGGAAGUAGCUCAGCGGUAGAGCAUCGGCUUCCCAAGCCGAGGGUCGAGGGUUCGAACCCCUUCUUCCGCU
rnacentral:tRNA from 1 species